UACGUAGGGUGCGAGCGUUGUCCGGAAUUAUUGGGCGUAAAGGGCUCGUAGGCGGUUUGUCGCGUCGGGGAGUGAAAACCCAGGGCUUAACCCUGGGCUGGCUUCCGAUACGGGCAGACUAGAGGUAUGCAGGGGAGAACGGAAUUCCUGGUGUAGCGGUGAAAUGUGUAGAGAUCGGGAGGAACACCGGUGGCGAAGGCGGGUCUCUGGGCAUCUCCGUGGACGGCCUGAGGCGCGAAAGCGUGGGGAGCGAACGAGGA
rnacentral:rRNA from 1 species